CAAAUGCUCCCUCCGUCUCAAAAUUCUUGUCUUAGAUUUGUUUAAAUAUGGAUAUAUCAAGAAUUUCGAGACAGAGGGAGUACUAUUUGUCUAAAUAAAGUAUAUCUUUCCUAAAAAAAAUCUAAGACAAGAAUUUUGAGACAGAGGGAGUACUAU
rfam:Triticum aestivum genome assembly, contig: Triticum_aestivum_CS42_TGACv1_scaffold_405615_5BL